CCAAAAAUUUUGUUUUCGAAAUACAGGUGUUAAAGUUCAAUUUUUUCUGUAAUAGCACUUUCCCUUUACAAGAUAUUCAAAUUGAAUUGGCAUAGAUAUUUUCCGAUUUGAAGUUUUCGUCAUUUGAUUUCCUAAUUUUGGAUGCAAAUCUACAAGGUGAUAUUUUUUUUGGAGGGUAGCCUGCUUCUUUCCUCCAGAACUAUUUUUUGGUGAACUGCUGGCAGUUAUGAAAAGUGUGAAAAAAAUCUCUGAUCCAGUACUACACUUGGUUUCUUAUAGUUUUGUCGUAUCUGUCGAUUUUGAUAACAUAAUUUCAAACAGCUGUCUAGUAAUCCUCAGGAAAAUCCAAAUUAUUAUAAACAUCCAGUUAGUAAACUGUCAUGAAAUAAUUAGUUAUAAGAUUUGUUACUUAUUUACCCACUCUUUAGCGAUGAUUAAUAAAUAUUUGAUGCACUGAUAAUAUGCAUCACUUAAAAGUACGACACACUAGAAACACCCUGUAUCUCGAAAACAAAGCGUUUGCGGGCCAAAGAAUCUCAUUUUACUCCGUAACUCUAACACCCAGUAUAAGAACAAUCGAAUUGGUGAUGAAAAAAAAAUUGAGUGAUUUAGUUCAAACUUCGUUAUCGAACUUCUUUUUCACAUUUAAUUUCGCCCUUGAUUUCGAAACCCUGUCAACAUUUGUUUUCAACAAUAAAUUAAACAAUUUUUUUCUUUUCAGAAUGAAUACGCAUUUGAAACCGUGUGGUGUUUGUGCACAAGUGACGAACGAAAAUUUUUUUGUUGGAAAAUGUUUGCACAUUUUCCAUAAAAAAUGCCUUAGCAACGAGUCAACAUGCCCGGAAUGCAAAAUAGAAAUGGGAGCUAAUUUGGUGGAAGGAGAGUGUGGCAUUUGCUUGGAGCCCCUAGAAAAAGAAGUUCUUAUCACGAAGUGCCGACACGCAUUCCACUAUGACUGUAUUCUUAAAUGGGCCAGUACAAGCGGUAACUGUCCCUAUUGCCGCAGCCUGGUGGAAGUGAAAGAUAUAGCGGGGGAAACCGAGGGAGAAACGGACAGCUCUUCCUCACAUACAGAUUUUUCGGAUACUUUCAUCCGCAAUUUUGUUCGGAAUUAUUUCCAUUUCCAAAGAACAGGAGCAGGAGCAUCUCUAAUAAUAUGUACAGACUCAUUAGCGAGAGGUAUAGACUUGCCAGGAAUUGAGUAUGUAUUUUCAUAUUCAGCACCAAAGCACUUGAAAACAUAUAUCCAUAGAGCUGGAAGAACUGCCAGAGCAGGUUGCCUAGGGACUGCAGUAACAUUACUGCAUACCACACAGGUUGGCCAUUUCAAGUCGUUACUUGAACAUGCCGGAAAAACCAACAUCGAAGAGUCUGUAUUUGUCAUUGUCAGCACCAAAGCACUUGAAAACAUAUAUCCAUAGAGCUGGAAGAACUGCCAGAGCAGGUUGCCUAGGGACUGCAGUAACAUUACUGCAUACCACACAGGUUGGCCAUUUCAAGUCGUUACUUGAACAUGCCGGAAAAACCAACAUCGAAGAGGUGAGUUAAAUUUUUUCAAUACUCCAACCUUGAGUCAGAAGUUUUUGCUUUGUUAGCUGCCUGAUUUCUGCGAUAAUAUGAAUUUUGAUUCCAGUCUGUAUUUGUCAUUGUCAGCACCAAAGCACUUGAAAACAUAUAUCCAUAGAGCUGGAAGAACUGCCAGAGCAGGUUGCCUAGGGACUGCAGUAACAUUACUGCAUACCACACAGGUUGGCCAUUUCAAGUCGUUACUUGAACAUGCCGGAAAAACCAACAUCGAAGAGGUGAGUUAAAUUUUUUCAAUACUCCAACCUUGAGUCAGAAGUUUUUGCUUUGUUAGCUGCCUGAUUUCUGCGAUAAUAUGAAUUUUGAUUCCAGUAUGUAUUUGUCAUUGUCAGCACCAAAGCACUUGAAAACAUAUAUCCAUAGAGCUGGAAGAACUGCCAGAGCAGGUUGCCUAGGGACUGCAGUAACAUUACUGCAUACCACACAGGUUGGCCAUUUCAAGUCGUUACUUGAACAUGCCGGAAAAACCAACAUCGAAGAGGUGAGUUAAAUUUUUUCAAUACUCCAACCUUGAGUCAGAAGUUUUUGCUUUGUUAGCUGCCUGAUUUCUGCGAUAAUAUGAAUUUUGAUUCCAGUCUGUAUUUGUCAUUGUCAGCACCAAAGCACUUGAAAACAUAUAUCCAUAGAGCUGGAAGAACUGCCAGAGCAGGUUGCCUAGGGACUGCAGUAACAUUACUGCAUACCACACAGGUUGGCCAUUUCAAGUCGUUACUUGAACAUGCCGGAAAAACCAACAUCGAAGAGGUGAGUUAAAUUUUUUCAAUACUCCAACCUUGAGUCAGAAGUUUUUGCUUUGUUAGCUGCCUGAUUUCUGCGAUAAUAUGAAUUUUGAUUCCAGUCUGUAUUUGUCAUUGUCAGCACCAAAGCACUUGAAAACAUAUAUCCAUAGAGCUGGAAGAACUGCCAGAGCAGGUUGCCUAGGGACUGCAGUAACAUUACUGCAUACCACACAGGUUGGCCAUUUCAAGUCGUUACUUGAACAUGCCGGAAAAACCAACAUCGAAGAGUCUGUAUUUGUCAUUGUCAGCACCAAAGCACUUGAAAACAUAUAUCCAUAGAGCUGGAAGAACUGCCAGAGCAGGUUGCCUAGGGACUGCAGUAACAUUACUGCAUACCACACAGGUUGGCCAUUUCAAGUCGUUACUUGAACAUGCCGGAAAAACCAACAUCGAAGAGUCUGUAUUUGUCAUUGUCAGCACCAAAGCACUUGAAAACAUAUAUCCAUAGAGCUGGAAGAACUGCCAGAGCAGGUUGCCUAGGGACUGCAGUAACAUUACUGCCUACCACACAGGUUGGCCAUUUCAAGUCGUUACUUGAACAUGCCGGAAAAACCAACAUCGAAGAGGUGAGUUAAAUUUUUUCAAUACUCCAACCUUGAGUCAGAAGUUUUUGCUUUGUUAGCUGCCUGAUUUCUGCGAUAAUAUGAAUUUUGAUUCCAGUCUGUAUUUGUCAUUGUCAGCACCAAAGCACUUGAAAACAUAUAUCCAUAGAGCUGGAAGAACUGCCAGAGCAGGUUGCCUAGGGACUGCAGUAACAUUACUGCAUACCACACAGGUUGGCCAUUUCAAGUCGUUACUUGAACAUGCCGGAAAAACCAACAUCGAAGAGGUGAGUUAAAUUUUUUCAAUACUCCAACCUUGAGUCAGAAGUUUUUGCUUUGUUAGCUGCCUGAUUUCUGCGAUAAUAUGAAUUUUGAUUCCAGUAUGUAUUUUCAUAUUCAGCACCAAAGCACUUGAAAACAUAUAUCCAUAGAGCUGGAAGAACUGCCAGAGCAGGUUGCCUAGGGACUGCAGUAACAUUACUGCAUACCACACAGGUUGGCCAUUUCAAGUCGUUACUUGAACAUGCCGGAAAAACCAACAUCGAAGAGGUUAAACUGCCUACUGAUGACCUGGAGUCAUUGGGAAAUACAUACAAAGAAGCAUUAGCAGAAUUGAAGAGAAUGCUAACAAAAGAAGAGGAAGAUCAUAUGAAGAGACUCAAAAAUACGAAACAGUUGAAAAGGAAAAGGAAUUCUGUCAAUUCUAAUUGAUUUAUAAUUAUUAUUAAUGUUGUACAUACAUUAUUAAAUUGUUUACUGUACAAAUAUUCAAUUCAGAACUCUUUGUAGAUAUUCUAAUAAACAAGACAGCUCUUCCUCAAAUACAGAGUUUUCGGAUACUUUCAUCCGAAAUUUCGUUCGGAAUUAUUUCCGAUUUCAAAGAACAGGAGCAGGAGCAUCUCUGUACGAAGAUGAGCGAUUAAAUCGCAAUGCUCGUCUUCGUAGAUGAUCCGCUGGAUGUUUUUCACAUAAUGAAUACGCAUUUGGAAUCGUGUAAUAAUUGUGCACAAGUCAUAAACGAAGAUUUAUUUGUUGAAAAAUGUUUACACCUUUUUCAUGAAAAAAGCCUAAGCAAAGCGGCCUCAUGCCCUGAGUACAAGCAAGAAAUGGGAGCUAAUUUAGUGGAAGGAGAGUGUGGCAUUUGUUUAGAGCCGUUGGAAAAACUUAUUUUCAUCACGAAGUGAAAACAUGCUUUUCACAAUGAUUGCAUUCAUAAAUGGGCCAAUACAAGCGGUAAAUGUCCUUAUUGCCGCAGCCUGGUCGAAGUGAAAGAUAUAGGGCUUAUGGUGGUGUUUUGUGCCACAAGUGCGUAAAGGAAAAGAUCGUCAGAGCCUUCCUUCUGGAAGAACAAAAAAAUGUUGUGAAAGUUAUGAAAGCUCAACAGGGUGUAAAAGCUGCUCCUUCUAAGAAAUAGUAUGGAAUAGCGAGUGAAACGGACAGCUCUUCCUCACAUACUGGUUAUUCUGAUAUUUUCAUCCGCAAUUUCGUUCGAAAUUAUUUCCAAUUCCGAAGAAUAGAAGCAGCAGCACCUCUGUACGAUGAAAAGCGAUUAAAUCGAAAUUAUCGUCUUCGUAGAUGAUCCAUUAAUCUUUGAUAAUAGUGCGAGUAAUAGUGUCGAGAACAUUAUUGGAUCGUCUGCGUUAUUUUAUAUUAUGUAAUUUUAUAUCAUUUUAUAUUAUGUAAUUUUAUAUCAUUUUAUUAUAAUAUUAUACUGCC